UACAGAGGUCUCAAGCGUUGUUCGGAUUCAUUGGGCGUAAAGGGCGCGUAGGCUGCGGGGCAAGUCGGGUGUGAAAUCUCAGAGCUCAACUCUGAAACUGCACUCGAUACUGCUUUGCUUGAGGACUGGAGAGGAGAUUGGAAUUCACGGUGUAGCAGUGAAAUGCGUAGAUAUCGUGAGGAAGACCAGUGGCGAAGGCGGAUCUCUGGACAGUUCCUGACGCUGAGGCGCGAAUGCCAGGGGAGCAAACGGG
rnacentral:rRNA from 1 species